CCUGGUUGAUCCUACCAGUAGCAUAUGCUUGUCUCAAAGAUUAAGCCAUCUAUGUAUAAGUACAUAUUUGUCAGUACAGUGAAACUACGAAUGGCUCAGUAAAUUAAUUAUGGUGCUUCGAUCGCUCCAUCUGUUACUUGGAUAACUGUGGUAAUACUGGAGCCAAUACAUGCCAAUGACCGCUAACCUCCCGGGAUGCGUGAAUUUAUCAGACUAAGACCAAUCUGAUCUCUCCCGGCUGUUUUGGUGACUCUAGAUAACAUUGGGUUGAUCGCACGUCCCUUUGACGAUACAUUUGUAUGUCUGUACUAUCAAUCUUUCGAUGGUACUUUCUGUGCCUACCAUGGUAACCACGGGUAACACGGAAUCAGGGUUUGAUUCUGGAGAGGGAGUCUGAAAAACAGCUACUGCUUCCAAAGAAGGCAGCAGGCAUGCAACUUACCCAUUCUAGUGACCAAAAAAGAACAAUACUGGAGUCUUUCGGGGCCCUGUAAUUGGAAUGAGUGCACUUUAAAUCCAUUGGAGGGUAAGUCUGGUGCCAGCAGCUGCAGUAAUUUCAGCUCCAAUAGCGUACAUUAAAGUUGCAUUAAAGUUGCUGCAGUUAAAAAGCUUGUAGUUGGAUAUUGGGAUCUAGCUGGCGAUCCGCCAUUAGGCGAGCUACCGCCUGUCCCAGCACCCAGCACAUGCUUCUCGGUGCGCUCUUGAUGGAGAGUCCUGCAGGUAUGAAGCGUUUACUAUAAUUAGAGUGUUCAAAGCAGUCCGGUCGGCAGAAUGUUUCAACUGGAAUAGGUCUCUGGUACAAUUUUGUUGGUUUUGCAACUGGGCCCAUGAUUAAGAGGUAUGGCCGCAGAUAUUCGUAUUGUGCGACUAGAGGUGAAAUUCUUCAACCGGCUCAAGACAAACCAAAGUGAAAGCAUUUGCCAAAAAUGUUUUCAUUACUCAAGAAUGAAAGUCGGGUGUUUGAAGACGAUCAGAUACCGUCAUAUUUCCAUCCAUAAUCCAUGCUUCGCGGGCAUUAGUCCUGUGAGCUUCCAGGAACCCAAAGUCUUUGCUUUCCAGGCAGAGUAUGGUUGCAAAGCUGAAACCUAAAGUAAUUGAUGGAAGUGCACCACCAGCAGUGAAGCCUGUGGCUUAAUUUGACUCAACAUGGGAAACUUCACCCAGCCCGGACAUGGAAAGGAUUGACGGCUCUUUCUCGAUUCUGUGGGUAGUGGUGCAUGGGCGUUCUUAGUUGAUGGAAUGAUUUGGCUGAUUAAUUCUGACACUGAAUGAGACUCCUCCAUCCAAACUAAUUACGUGGCCCGCUAGCUGUUGGCGUUGAACUUCUUUGAGGGACAAGUGGCAGUCAGCGAACACGAGAUUGAGCAAUAAAAGGUCUGAGAUGCCCUAAAAUGUCUAGGGUUGCAUGUGCGUAACAUUGAAUGGAUCAACGUGUGUCUACCCUUUGCCAACAGGUGCAGGUGAUCCGCUGAACCCCGUUCAUGAUAGGGAUUGGGGAUUGCAAUUAUUUCCCAUGAAUGAGGAAUUUCCAGUAAGUACGGGUCAUAAACUUGUACAGAUCGCCUGAAUUUUGAAUGGUUUAGUGAGGUCCUCGGAUUGGCCCAGCCGGGGUCGCCAACCACCCCCUCUUUGAGCAUUGAGAAGGUGAUCAAACUUGACUAUCUAGAGGAAUUAAAGUCGUAAAAGUCGUAACAAGGUUUCUGUAGGUAAACCCGCGGAUG
rnacentral:rRNA from 1 species